GACGAACGCUGGCGGCGUGCUUAACACAUGCAAGUCGCGCGGAGCGGCGAACGGGUGGGUAACGCGUGAGUAACUGCCCCCCUCUCUGGGCUAACAGUUGGAAACGGCUGCUAAUACCGGAUAUUGGGGGAUGACUCGCGUCCUAUCAGCUUGUUGGUGGGGUAGUGGCCUCCCAAGGGGACGACGGGUAGCCGGCCUGAGAGGGCGUCCGGCCACAAUGGGCUGGGGUACGGCUCAAACUCCGACGGGAGGCAGCAGUGGGGAAUAUAGCACAAGGGGGGAAACCCUGAUGCAGCAACGCCGCGUGCGGGAGGGCGUCGUUCGGGUUGUAAACCGCUUUCAGCCAUGACGCGGUAGUGUCAGAAGAAGCACCGGCUAACUACGUGCCAGCAGCCGCGGUAAUAC
rnacentral:rRNA from 1 species